rnacentral:lncRNA from 1 species
GCUGUGACCCUCUGGGCCUCCAGGAAGCCUGGCCUGGAAAAGGGUAGAGGGCGGGGCGGUGAUUGUCCAAAAGUUCUGGUGGGCCUGUGCAUUGUUGGCUGUGUGAUGGAUGAGAAUUGUCAAGCUGGAGAAAAAUGUUGCAAGUCAGGCUGUGGCCGCUUCUGUGUCCCACCAGUCCUGCCCCCAAAACUGACCAUGAACCCCAACUGGACUGUGAGGUCUGAUUCCGAAUUAGAGAUCCCGGUGCCCUAGCUGUGCUGAUUUGUCUGGAGCUUCUUUGGUAAUUCUGGAAGCUUUUCCUGGCAGUCAAGAGAGGGUGACAUCCUGGGGCUUGUGACAUUUCCAGGGGCACUCAUGGCCCUCUCUGCUCUGCUUCUCCUCCUGCCGCUGACCAGAGCAUGGGAAAUAGCCCUGGAUUGGGUAGUGGGUGUGUGGUGCUUCUCUUUCCCGAUAAAGGCUGGUGCUGA